CUGCCCGCAACAGGGGGAUAACCCGGCGAAAGUCGGACUAAUACCGCAUAAAACAGGGGUCCCGCAUGGGAAUAUUUGUUAAAGAUUUAUCGGUUGCGGAUGGGCAUGCGUACCAUUAGGUAGUUGGUGAGGUAACGGCUCACCAAGCCUUCGAUGGUUAGGGGUUCUGAGAGGAAGGUCCCCCACACUGGUACUGAGACACGGACCAGACUCCUACGGGAGGCAGCAGUGAGGAAUAUUGGUCAAUGGGCGAGAGCCUGAACCAGCCAAGUCGCGUGAAGGAUGACUGCCCUAUGGGUUGUAAACUUCUUUUACAAGGGAAUAAAAUGAGAUACGUGUAUUUUAUUGCAUGUACCUUGGGAAUAAGCAUCGGCUAACUCCGUGCCAGCAGCCGCGGUAAUACGGAGGAUGCGAGCGUUAUCCGGAUUUAUUGGGUUUAAAGGGUGCGUAGGUGGGCUAUUAAGUCAGCGGUGAAAGUUUGUCGCUUAACGAUAAAAUUGCCGUUGAAACUGGUAGUCUUGAGUAUAGAUGAAGUAGGCGGAAUGCGUGGUGUAGCGGUGAAAUGCAUAGAGAUCACGCAGAACUCCGAUUGCGAAGGCAGCUUACUAAGGUAUAACUG
rnacentral:rRNA from 1 species